ACAAUGGGGGCCCAAGGUGAGAUGAAGCUGUAGUCUCACUGGAAGGACUAGAGGUUAGAGGAGACCCCCCCGAAACAAAAAACAGCAUAUUGACGCUGGGAAAGACCAGAGAUCCUGCUGUCUCCUCAGCAUCAUUCCAGGCACAGAACGCCAGAAAAUGGAAUGGUGCUGUUGAAUCAACAGGUUCU
rnacentral:lncRNA from 1 species